rnacentral:lncRNA from 1 species
ACCACUCAAUCAGGCAAAAGUAGAAAAGACACACUUUUAGCCAAGCAGUACCUUGGAAGCCUUUUAAACACACGCACACACACUCCUCUGCUCCUGAAGCAUCAGCUCAGUGUUGAAGAUGGGACAUCUCACGCUUGUGGCUUUACUGGCAGGGUUGUUCACCCUUUUCACAGAAACUGAAGCAAAUCCGUUUGUUUACAGUAAGUACAUAUUUUCUUUUUUUUAUUCACAAUUUGCAUUUUAAUUGUUUAGUUGUAAAGCAUACAUUUAUACAUUACUUUUAUCAUCCAACAGACUAUGAACG